rnacentral:rRNA from 1 species
GAAUCUAACAUGGUAGCAAAUUCAUGGACUUGGGCCAGAACCUUCUGAUAAUCGACCAUGCCAUCCAAAGAUGGAGGGACUGCUGUUUCAAGCCUGUACAAUAUCAGUGACCCGAAGAAUUCAUGGAACAUUCCAGACGGCUGAAGGAUAUUUAGUAUUUGAAAAGGAAUAUAUGGUCAUGAACUAUAGGCAUAGUUCGUCGGGUAAAUUUUGAAUUGAACAAUGAGCUAACAUUGGCCCAAACGAGACCGAUAGCGCACAAGUA